GAGCCAGUGGCUCAAUGGUUAGAACGUUGGACUUCUGAUCCACUGGUCGCGGGUUCGAUCCUCGGGUGGUGCA
rnacentral:tRNA from 1 species